GGGGCAAAAGUACAAAACUCCAAACUCAAACCUGAUUUAGGCAGGGAAUGAACCCCUCUUUUUUUUGCAUGGAGUAAAUUAAAAGCAACGAUAUAGAAAAUAGCUUACUGCAUGGUUCUCAGAUUUAGUAAUAAUCAAUUUCAUAGAUGAUGAUUUUAGAAUGCUCAGUGCAAUUUGAGGGAUAAAGUUUUAAGAAAUGGAGAGAACCUUUUGAUUUUGAUAUAAGUUGAUGUUCUGAUGGUGACUUAUAUAAUCC
rnacentral:misc_RNA from 1 species